CCUACGGGAGGCUGCAGUGGGGAAUAUUGGACAAUGGGGGCAACCCUGAUCCAGCCAUGCCGCGUGUGUGAAGAAGGCCCUCGGGUUGUAAAGCACUUUCAGUGAGGAAGAACGCCUGGUGGUUAAUACCCAUCAGGAAAGACAUCACUCACAGAAGAAGCACCGGCUAACUCCGUGCCAGUAGCCGCGGUAAUACGGAGGGUGCGAGCGUUAAUCGGAAUUACUGGGCGUAAAGCGCGCGUAGGUUGCUUGAUAAGCCGGUUGUGAAAGCCCCGGGCUCAACCUGGGAACGGCAUCCGGAACUGUCAAGCUAGAGUGCAGGAGAGGAAGGUAGAAUUCCCGGUGUAGCGGUGAAAUGCGUAGAGAUCGGGAGGAAUACCAGUGGCGAAGGCGGCCUUCUGGACUGACACUGACACUGAGGUGCGAAAGCGUGGGUAGCAAACAGGAUUAGAUACCCGUGUAGUC
rnacentral:rRNA from 1 species